UCCAGACUCCUACGGGAGGCAGCAGUGAGGAAUAUUGGUCAAUGGGCUUACGCCUGAACCAGCCAAGUCGCGUGAGGGAAGACUGCCCUAUGGGUUGUAAACCUCUUUUGUCAGGGAGCAACGCCGGCUACGUGUAGCCGGACUGAGAGUACCUGAAGAAAAAGCAUCGGCUAACUCCGUGCCAGCAGCCGCGGUAAUACGGAGGAUGCGAGCGUUAUCCGGAUUUAUUGGGUUUAAAGGGUGCGCAGGCGGAAUGUUAAGUCAGCGGUAAAAUUUCGGGGCUCAACCCCGUCGUGCCGUUGAAACUGGCGUUCUUGAGUGAGCGAGAAGUAUGCGGAAUGCGUGGUGUAGCGGUGAAAUGCAUAGAUAUCACGCAGAACUCCGAUUGCGAAGGCAGCAUACCGGCGCUCAACUGACGCUCAUGCACGAAAGCGUGGGUAUCGAACAGGAUUAGAUACCCUGGUAC
rnacentral:rRNA from 1 species